rnacentral:rRNA from 1 species
AGCAGUAGCCGCGGUAAUACGAAGGGUGCAAGCGUUAAUCGGAAUUACUGGGCGUAAAGCGUGCGUAGGCGGUUUGUUAAGUCCGUUGUGAAAUCCCCGGGCUCAACCUGGGAAUGGCAAUGGAUACUGGCAAGCUGGAGUGUGUCAGAGGAUGGUGGAAUUCCCGGUGUAGCGGUGAAAUGCGUAGAGAUCGGGAGGAACAUCAGUGGCGAAGGCGGCCAUCUGGGACAACACUGACGCUGAGGCACGAAAGCGUGGGGAGCAAACAGGAUUAGAUAACCCUGUAGUCCCUGUCUCUUAUAC